GAUGAAGAACGUAGCGAAACGCGAUAUGUAAUGUGAAUUGCAGAAUUCAGUGAAUCAUCGAAUCUUUGAACGCACAUUGCGCCCCCUGGUAUUCCGGGGGGCAUGCCUGUUCGAGCGUCAUUUCACCACUCAAGCCUCGCUUGGUAUUGGGCAACGCGGUCCGCCGCGUGCCUCAAAUCGUCCGGCUGGGUCUUCUGUCCCCUAAGCGUUGUGGAAACUAUUCGCUAAAGGGUGUUCGGGAGGCUACGCCGUAAAACAACCCCAUUUCUAAGGUUGACCUCGGAUCAGGUAGGGAUACCCGCUGAACUUAAGCAUAUCAAUAAGCGGAGGA
rnacentral:misc_RNA from 1 species